GAUGAACGCUGGCGGCGUGCCUAACACAUGCAAGUCGAGCGAUCUUCUUCGGAAGAGAGCGGCGGACGGGUGAGUAACGCGUGGGUAACCUGCCCUGUACACACGGAUAACAUACCGAAAGGUAUGCUAAUACGAGAUAAUAUGCUUUUGUCGCAUGGUAGAAGUAUCAAAGCUCCGGCGGUACAGGAUGGACCCGCGUCUGAUUAGCUAGUUGGUAAGGUAACGGCUUACCAAGGCGACGAUCAGUAGCCGACCUGAGAGGGUGAUCGGCCACAUUGGAACUGAGACACGGUCCAAACUCCUACGGGAGGCAGCAGUGGGGAAUAUUGCACAAUGGGCGAAAGCCUGAUGCAGCAACGCCGCGUGAGCGAUGAAGGCCUUCGGGUCGUAAAGCUCUGUCCUCAAGGAAGAUAAUGACGGUACUUGAGGAGGAAGC
rnacentral:rRNA from 1 species